AAACGGAGACCUAUAUGGAAUUCGAAUCGAGUUGGGGGCACUUUUCAUCAUCUUAACCGGCUAGGCCCUUUAUUCUAGGCUAGGCUAUUCCCAGUAAAAAGAGUAAAUUGUAUUAAGAUGCCACAAGAAAAUAGUUUCAGAACAAUAUAUUAAUUCCCGAAUACUGUUAGUUUUCACCUCUGAGUAUAUUGAGUGUUUGAUUCACAGGUAUUAACCAGUCUACCUUUUCUUUCAUACUCGAAAUGGCAAGUUGGUUCGUCUGUAGUUGGUUACACAAAAAAUUAUAGUCCAAACCUAGAAGAUUUGUUGCAUAUUUGUAGUUCCAUUUACAUAUCCUAGGUUUUAGAGAAAUACUGGGAAGCAUUUACUUUGAAGUAAAGUUAAGUUCAUUAAAUUUAACUCCUUAUUCUUUUCCUUUAUUAGCCUUCUAUCGUCCAUUGUUGGACAUAUACCUCUCCGACCUCCUUCCAUCGAUCUCUUUCCUGGGCAACAUACUUCUGAUUUGUUCCGGCUAUUUUUUUUUUGAUGCCAUCUACCCAACUCAUCUGUGGUCUUCUUGGUCGUCUAACUUUUUAAGGUCUCCAAUGCUGUAUUGUGGCGUUCCAAUGUUGGUCUUUUUAUAUAGCAGUGUGGCCAGCGAAGCUUUUCCUUUGAGUUUGAUAAUUUUUGCUGUCAUAUCCUCGACUUUUGUUUUUGAUGUUGCCCAAUCGUUCCUCUUUUAUCGGACAGUCGUGAACCUAAUAUUGUAAUUUCUGUUGUGGCUGGUUUAUUCAUAUUGGCCUUGGUUAGGGUAAAAGUUUGGACACACUGGUUGAACAUAUUGUUCCUCAAGUAUUGAGGUAUUUUUAGUUCUUAAGUAUCCAACUCAGUUUUCCAAAUCCUGCCCAUGCAAAUCUUGCUCUUCUAGUAAUUUUCUCGCUCGUUGGUCCUCUCUGUCAAGUUUCAGAAUUUUGUCCAGGAUAUGCUUGGACCUGUUCUAUCGCAUUGCCAUUUAUAGUUAUACAUCUGGACUCUAGUUGUCUGUGUUUGUCUUUGUUUUUGUCAUGUUCAUAUUUAGGCCGACGUAUUGGGAGCCGUCUGUGAGUUCCUUCAUCUUAGUAUGUAGUUCUUCGAAUGUGCUCGCUAUAAUCAGGAUGUCGUCAGCGAAUUCGAGGUGAUUUAACUUAUUGCCAUUAACAUUGAUGCGAUAUGUUGACCAAUUGUAGUUCAAAAUGGAUAAUGCUUGAAACUUAGUUAUGUGUAAUGAGGCAUUUCUGUCACAUUUCCUACCAUUUUUGGUAGUGACCUCGUUUAUCUUCAAUCAUAUUAUUUUUGAUUCUUUGUCUAGUUUUUCUAUUGCUCGUUGGAAUGCCAUCUUUAUAUUUGCUGUAAUGGCCAGAUCAAAUAAGUAUGUUAUUACUCCAGACAGAUUUGAGAUAGUAUUGUUGUUCACUGAGGUUUGUUCACAAGAUCAGGUUCCUCCUGACUAUACAAGAUCAGGUUGAAUAAUUUCAUGGAGAUUUAGUGUCCCUGUUUAAUGCCUUCGUUUGUUUUAAUAUCCUUAAAGGCUGCUCCAUUAAGUCUUAUCUUCGUGGUGGUGUUCUUGUGAUUCACCGUUAGCAUUUUCCUUAGUUUUGUUGGUAUCCCGAACUGCCCCAGUUCUUCCAUAUUUUUAAACAUUUGAUUAAAUCCAAGCAUUCGUUAGAGCUCUAUAAGAAAAAACACUUGUCGAAUUAUAAAAACAUAAAAAAAGAAACAAUUUAUUUUGCUCAUUACUUUUCAAUUUACAAUUAUAGUCAAUUAUUCUAAAACAAACUUAAAAUUUAAUUUUGCUAAUUUUUUAAACUAAGUGCAUAUUUUAUUAAUCUAUUUUUUUGAUAAUAAGAGUUUGUAAUAAAAUUUGCUUUUUCCAUUUUCUUUACUCAGUGUAAAAAAAUUCGUUGCGCUAAUUACACAGGAUUUUUAGGUGAUAAAAAUUAAACAACUUUUAUAUACUGACACGUGAUACUCAACACCUUUAGAAAUUUUGCGCUAACACCUAAGGGUAAGAACAGAACAAGUGGGUCGAGGUGGAGGUGUAGGUCACGGUGUAUGCUACUAGUUACGUCGAUGUCGACAGCACAUAGCAAGGAGGUCACCUGCGCUGUCAGUCCAGCUAGAACCACUAUCAAGUGAUGUAGUUUAAUGAAAUUUGAAUGACAAAAAGACUGUGCUUUUGCGAUGUUGUGUCAGUCAAGUGAUGAUAGUGAUGAAAUGUCAGCUGUAAAUAAUCAGAUCCUCCUUCAUAUUUCAAAAAUGUACUGUAUUUAAUUACUUUAGAAAUUCAAAAAUAAAUUGAAUAGGUAAUGACAACUUGGCUUCGAACGGACCAAUCACAGGGAAGCAUCCUUAUAGGCUGCGCAGUAGACAUCCAUGUAAAACAAACUCAUUUUAUUUUCAAAAGCAUUGAUAUAAACCUCCUGGAUGGCAUCGCGCUAAAUUUCCACCGCGACUUACCUGCUCUGUUCUCUUCAGAACAAUCCUGUGAAAUUAACUAUUAUUAAGGUUUUUCAAUUUUUUUUUUAAUAUGUAUAAUGUCACAUAUGGUUGACCUUAUUAAUAAUGAGUUGUUAACUUUUGCAUAAAAUUAUAAAAGUUAAGAAUUAACUUCUUACAAUAGGUAUAUUCAAAUUUGUUUUUUAUAUUAAAGUAUACUUGACUAUAAGUUUACAAUUACGGUAUUGUAUUUUCAAAAAGAAAAAUAGUGCAGGACACAUUUAAAGUGAGUCGUUUUUCAGUUCUAUGAAAAUUAAUAAUCUGUCGACGUAAUAGACCUUGUUCAACUGUGCAUUUGUAUUUUUGAAGAUAUUUUCUGCCCUGAGUGAUAAAAUCGGAUAUAUUUCCUGCUUGGUAUGGUAUGGUACGGUACAUCGGGGCAGGGCCCACUUAUGAGUCCUUCAGACACUUAGACCUCCUACGACGGGUCCAUUGCAUUACCACUAUCCUGCCGAUCAGGUCCAUAAGAACCUGGUCUUCGGCGUUUUGGGGGCCCAGGCUGUACCGGGCUCCCAUGUCUGUCAGAAUCAGCAGGGGCUGGAAAUCUGUGCUCCUCCUGUCGAUGCCGCGCCGAACGUCUAAUCAUUAAGCAACCUCAUGGCUUCACAGAAAGCCACAAGUCACUUUCAUCACCACGUGUCACCAGAAUCUACAGUGGAUGGUGAGCACACUGACCACCAGGGAGCAUUUUCUACGGUCUAAAAGAAGAAGUUGGGCUGUGAGAUUUUUGGUUGGCCCCACUAUGCGGAGCCUAGCUUAUCUCAAACCUCUAUUUCCUGCGUAUUUACUAUUCUUCUAAAAAUCGAUUAUGUACUAUUCUUUUUCAAAUUAUGUACCUGCCGUACUAGCCACACACUCUUGCACUUUUUCAAAGUCAAUAAUAGGUUUAUCAGCAGCCGCUUCUCGUUUAGCGGAUUUUACCACUGAGUCUAUUAUUUCAAGAAAUUGAGCAUUCAAAACUUUUCGCUUCAAUUUAUAUUGUUGAUUCAUGUUUAGAUUAAAUGAGCAAUUAUACGAUUCAAAAUCACUAUUAUUAAAAAUUUGAUUUUACCAACACAAAAUUUGUCAACCUCGCGAAUCGUUUCUACAGUGAAACUAUACACAUACACAGCUAAGUGGUUCUCGAUCAACAGAGUGCUCCUUGACGUAAUUUUAAAUCAGCUAGCUCGCACACUAUGUUCACGUCUAUUCGUAUUCUGGUUCACCUGUACGUAUCGUCUUCAUCACAGUUUAUGCUCGUUGGACGUUUUUCGAACUUGCUGAACUUUAUCGUGGUUUUUCUGAUUAUUUUUCGUAAGUAUGGCCUUAAGGGGAUCAAGUUCUAUAGUUGUCUGAUGAAAAUUCUAGAAAAUGAAUGGUCUAUCACGACAGGAGAGGAUUGCAGGGUUUGACGGAGGUAUGCGGUUUUUUGUUGUUUUUUUAUUUUUUAUUUAAAACUGAACCGUCGUUUCGAGCCAGUAUGGUUUAUGCCUAUGGCUUGCUAUGUAUUUAAUUUAGAAAUGUAAAGAAUAUUAACUACAGUCAAUUGCUGAUUGUGGUAACUGUAUGUGAUAUUUACAUAAAUUGUGUACAUGUUGUUCUAUAAUUAAUACCGUAUGAUUUGCAGCAGUCAUAUAAAUAUUUUUAUUAUAAUUCAGAAGGGCGCAUCUAUGGCUUUAAUUCUCCUCUUUUUUAUAGUUUUAUUAAAUCUAGCCAAAUAAGUUAGGUUCGAUUUUGUAGCCAAUUUAUCCAUGAAAUUGUAAUAAAUUAGGUUUAUUUCUAGUACAUUACGCGAACAGUAGGCAAAUAUUACAUUUGAAAUUAUAGGCUUGGAUCCCGUGUACUAAAAAAAACUUGAUUAAUAGCAAGCUGAAAUUUUUUUAAUAGCUUAACGGUGUCUAGUCGUACAAACGUUGAUGUACGGGAACACUAACAGUUUUAAUUGUGGAACGGGCUAAAAAUUUUGAACGUCGAGACUAAAUGUCCCAUGUAUUUUGUCGGACAGAACUUCCAAUUGAUUUGAUACCCUUUCAUCAAACUCUCAUGCAAAAAUCAGACUGCUAUUUAUCACCAACAUAAUUCCAGUCAUUUGACAUGUUCUACGUGUCGCACUUAUUAAAAUGCCCAGUUGGUGAAAAAUUCCAGUCUGAUUUUUGCAUGAGAGUUAAAUGAAAGGAUAACAAGUCAAUUGGAAGUUCUAUCCGACAAAAUACAUGGGACGUUUUCGUAGUCUGACGUUCCAACUUUUUAACCUGUUCCACAAUUAAAACUUCCUUUGUUCCAGUGUUCCCAACCAUCAAAGUUUGUCCGACUAGACACCGUUAAGCUAUUAACAAAUUUUCAGCAUGCUAGUAAUCAACUUUUUUAGGUACGCAGGAUCCAGGCAUAUUACCCAGUAGCAGUGAUUGGCAUUAUGUAUUAAAAAAUAUACUAGGUAAUAUGGUCGACCAAUUCUGGAAGGUAACAUAUAAUAUUUGUAAAAAAAUAUGAUUUGGAAUGAAAAGCCAAAUAUUGAUUUGGUGCUAUUGGAAACUGUGAUUUUAUAUUUACAUUGUGUCUUAGACAAGUUGUAAUGAAUUUAAUGAAAAUUUUCAACCAUAUUAAGAUCUAUCUUUAAUCGGAGCUAUAUAGUAAAAGGCUCUUAACUCCACACUUAAAUAUGUAUGACUUUAACUUUGACAUCUUCUAUAUUUUUAAUAAGUACAUCGAAUUGUCUACUAAGUUUUUCUUCUCUUCGUUACCUCAGGUUAGAUCUUUGUCUACACUAGUUGUCUGUGUCACUUCGUUCGUUCUUUCAAUACAAACUCUUAGCUUCUAUGAAACGUCAAGAAGUCCUGUGCUAUAGAAAAAAGCCAUCUCACAACAUAGCUCAGAUUAAAAAAUGUACAGGUUUUAAGUUUAAUGUCUAAUCUAGCUUCCAUCCACCAAAAUUUGGUACCUCGAUUUUUUUAAUAUUUCGCAUAGUUCUUCAGUCAUAACAGCUUUUCACUCAUUUUUUCUUCAAAACGGAUCUUUGUGAUGUUAAAGGACUCGGCAUCCUCGGCAUUUAUAAAUCCAAUAUACCUGUAGAUGUGUCAACAUCUUUUUUAUCGAGCAAGUAAAAGGGACCGUAUUUCAUUCUUCGGCAUAAUUUUUACCGGAUAGUUCUUGGGGAUCACUGCUUUAUUGAUCCAAAUUAAAGGAACUUCGUAACUAUCACUACCAAUCUCUUGGGAAGGAAGCAAAUUUUCUCAUUUUUGUUUUUUUAGCAAUAGUACUUCUGUUAGACGCAGCCCAUCUAGAGGCUGACAUUAUCAGUUCUCCUAGUGUUGUAGUUGGAGAAUUCUGUGUUAAGACGUCCUUGCUAGUGUGAAGACCCUGCUCACUCUUGUUCCUUCUUUUAGUUCUGGAUAAGCGUUGCUUUAAUAACUCAAGUGUCUUGAUCUUUUCUGUAAGAGAUCUGGAAUCGUUUCCUAAUGUUGUUUUCUGUCGGGAUCUUACGAGGAUUGGUAGGUUUUCGUAGUCUGCUGGAUAUCCCCUUUGGAAGUAGUUGUGUUAUUUUGUUGGAUUCUUAUGAAUCUCCCGUUUGUUUCUUUUAUAUUUAUUUGUCAAAUUUCGGUCUAGUGGGAGUCUGUACUUCUCUUCUUAUUCCUUGAGCCCUUAUAAGAGCGUGGUGACACUCUAAAUAUUGUUAGCUUGCUGUCUCCAUUGGCUGCGAUCUUGGUGCAUAAACUUAAAUUAUCUUUAUGGAGUAACAGGUGUUUUGCUGUCAUUUUACGAGUAUAACUCUUAUUUGUGAAGACUACUUUACCAUCUCUAAAACCAGUGUUGUCAUUUUCGCCCUCCAAGUUGUAACGAAGAUGUUCUCUUCCAUGCUCGUGCCUACCAUUGUGGUCUUAACCCACAUCCCUGAGUAAAUGUCUGUGUUAUAUCCCAGAGAGCUAUGUCCAAUUUUAACUUAGCUAUCAAUUCGCUUCGGCUUACUGAAGUACCAGAUACCGUGUGUUUACUUUUAAAUUAGAUAUAUGAGUACACCUAAUAUAUGGCAACACUGCUUCCCCGUUUCCCACACCUGAGUCGCGCGGAUUUAUUCAGUCAUUCGUCGAUUCUACAGUGGCAAGUCAUUCUCGUAAGCGAUGUUGCCGAUUUUAGCGUUUCCUUCAGUCGCGUAUCUAUAAUCGAAAACCAAACGUAUGAUAGGAGUUACCCGUGGGAGCGACAGAUAAGAUGACUCUGUACUCCGUGAGCCCGGUUAAUGGGCAUGUGUGAUUCCAUUCUCAAAGCCACUAGUUUUUGGAUACAUAUAGGCAGAGGCGUAACCAGGAGGGGAUUUUGGGGGUCUAACCCCUCCAUUGAGAUAUACAUUGAGCUCUAUACGCGUAACACCAUUACUCUUCCAUACCCCUCAGCGACCCUCUAGUAGUUGUAAACUCCCCCUUAGGAUCAUCCUGGUGACGCCGUUGCAUAUAUACGCUACGUUUUUGAGGUAUUUCGUUGAGUUAUUCCAUGAAGUUGACAGACUAUUUGAAAUGGUUCUUUCCCGUUGCUCCUAGGUAGUAUAUACUGCUUAAUAGUUCUUGUUCAUCGAGGAGUUUCAAUUUUUCUGCUUUAAAUUAUUGUUCACUUGCGUUUAAUCUUCUGUUGCUUAGUGAGCCAUUACAAAAGCUUAAUAUGUUCCACCGGAAACGCUAAAUAUGAUUAUAUCAAAAAUUUGGUCUAAACAUUGCCUUAAUUGUUAUCAUUAAAAUAAGCGUUAUAUCGCUAACGCUAGCAUUGCUAGUAGUUACAAAAAUGUCACUCUUACAGUGACUAUUACAGUUUGUAAGUUAGUGUUGUAAGCAAAAAAGACUUAGCUUUGUCUAGGACAUACUGUAUAUGUUUUAAUUUUAAUCUGCUACUUCGAAAAUUGACUUUUCUUUAAAAUAUCACUAUUUUUGUAAUAAAGUUGAAGGUAUUUAUGUAGAAAUAAAAAUAUAAUACGUUAAAAUAGAUCAUAGAAUAAAUGAUGUUUAUCUUGUAUUUGCUUCAUGGGUUUUUAUAGUAAGUAGUAUAUUAUGGUACUUUACCAUUUUUUUAGGUAUAUGUAGUUCAUGAGUUUAAGCCUUCCAAGAGUAUUUUGCCAUUACUAUUUGAUAUAAAGAUCAUCACACGGCGUAAAAAUUUUUAAAAAUUCUAAAUCCAGUGUUGUUCUGAAGCUAUUUUCUUUAACUAUUUUUCAAUUAACUAGUUUUGGUGGGAAAUAAGCCACAAUUUUACUAAAAAAAUGAUUUUAUUAACGUUUCGAUGCCCAAAUCGGGUGUCGUUGUCAAAAUACAAAAAAUAUUAAUGAAUUUAACAAAAAUGUUGUUGCUUAGUAAAAAAAUUCUUCUAAUAAUUUAUUUAAUCUGACUCAUUUAUAUCGGCAAUUCAGACAUAUAUUAUAAAUUUUAAAGUAGAAGACUUUAAAAUGAUAUUGCCAAUAUUUAUGAGUUGCGUUCCUGGGACGUUAAUUUCGUUAUUUCUUUUUUGCCAUUUCUUAAUUGUCUUCUUACAACUUUGAGGCUCUUGUUAUCUUCAAUUGUUUGUUGAAUUUGUUCGUUUUUAUAUUUUCGGUUGUCCGUCCUAAUAGAUUUUUGUAUUCUUUUACUUAUCUCUCUAAGUUCUUUGUGUUCUUUACUUCUAUUACUUUGCAGUUUUCUCCGCUCUUCCAUUAAUGAUUGUGUUUGGGGGAUUAUUCUUUUGUUAUGUGACGUCUUUUGGCAGUGUAUCUUCGGGCUCUCUUCUAUAGCUUCUAUUAUAAUGUCAUUAAGGCCCGAUUGUACAUUGGCGGCUUAAGCUAUGGCUUAGUUGAACCGGGUUCAAUUUUGAGCGUCGGUUUAACUUCAUUCGGGUUGUUCAAUGCCGAGUUCAGUUAAGCCGAGGUUCAUACAAAUUUUGGUAAGGUUGGCAACGUAAGGCAUGCGUAUUCAAAGCAAUUCCCGUCAAUUCUCGACAUAAAUUUUCCCGCCAUUUAUGUAUUAUUAUUUGGUUUUUGUCAAUAUAAUUCUUUUAUUACUGUUAUUAGUUUAAUCGGUAUUUUCUAUCGUUUAGUUUAUCAGUUUAAUCAAUUUCCUACGUUAAAUUUGUGAACAGACCAUUUGAAUAGCUUGUGAUGAAGGAUUGCGUAAGGGUGUUAUCAGGUUUUCUUGACUCCGUAACCACUAUCACCAAAGAAGAUACUAAUUCAAUCUUCACAUUCUCUUCUCAUAAAUAUUUAACUGUUUACAGCUAUGAUUUCAAAUUCACUCAAAAAUGUUAAUAUUUGCCUUAUUCUAGGGAAGUAGGUAGGUAAUUUAAAUAAUUUUAGAAGGUAAAUUAGUUUGUAAUUAUUAUUAAAUAAAGUGAUAUGUACCUACAUAAGCAUGGUACAAAUAUAAUUAAUUUAAGAUUUAUUAAUAAAUUAUGUACAUCUAAUUUAAUAAAUUAACAAAAUCGUUUUCUACAUUUGCUUCAAAAUCAUUCACAAGUUGCAAAAAGGAGCCUGUUGCUUAAAACCAGUGAUAUGGGCCCACUUCACUGCACAAAACCUUAAUUUAAGGCAAUAAAAACCAUGUUCUUAGAAGAUACAGCUUGGUUCUUGAAAUGUCAAUAACAAAUUUGCCACUUGUUUUCGUUCUCGUUCUUACCUAUCUGUUCGAUUUUUUAUUCUAUGAGCAAUACUAGUUUCAUACAAAUAGUGAACAGUGAACAGAUAUCCAAAAUCUUUGCAACAAUGCAUUAUCCUUCCAUUUUCAAAAUGAUUUUCUCUAGACCUACACUGUUUCUGUGUUCUCCUUCCUUCUAGAAUAUUUACCAUUUCCAGAAAAUCUUCAUUAUUAGUUAAAUUUUCAAUGAGGUUCAUUUUUAAGGUGUAAAUAUUAUGAUUUCCGUUGACAAUGACAAAAAUGUGAGGUUAAAAAUGCUUGAACCAGCGUUAAACCGCCGAACAUCGACCGCUCAGCUGAACCCGGGCUUAAACCGAGCUCAAGCUUAAACUUUGUAUGUACAACGCACUUCUUGCCCUGAACUCGGUAAUGGCGCUGAGCCGGAGUUGAACCUCGAUUGUACAACCGGGCCUAAGGGUGUUAACAUUUAGGUCUGUAUUCCUAUCGCUUUCGAGAAUGCUGUGGAUAUGUUCUUCAAAUGCAUUUAUAUUUUUAGGCUCGGUCCAGGUAGUUGUGGACUUCUUUUCCCGUAGCUUCCGGUAGCUCUCUUUCCCAAGGUCUAUUUCUAUCGAGGCUUUUACCAUUCUGUGGUCGCUACCUGUUGAAAACUGGUUUAGAACUGUAACGUCUUUAAAGAUUUGCUUCUUGUCGGUGAUUAUAAAAUCGAUCUCGUUCCUAGUUUUUCCAUUUGGGCUCUGCCACGUCCAUCUACGAUGUUCUUUUUUGUAGAAGAAGCUGUUCAUUUGGAACAGAUUUUUCUCCAUCAGGAAACUAAGUAAAGUUUCACCGCGUUCGUUUCUAUCUCCCAAACCAAAUUUUCCCAGUGAUGUUUCUAUAUCGUCUGCCUUUCUCCCCGUUUUAGCGUUAAAGUCACCGCAUAUUAUGGUAUAGUGUGUUGUUGUAUCAUUUAAGGCUAGAACAAUGUCAUCGUAGAAUUCCUCUACUUCGUAGUCCGCAUGGCCCCUUGUUGGGCAUAUACCUAGCUCAUCCAUAGGAAAGAAUAAUUUCCAGUUUGAUGGUUUUGAUUCUGUGAGUUGCAUAUUAAAUUAGGAUAAGAACCAGUUUAUUACUGUUUCUUAUUCUUAAAAUAUGUGUAUUUUCAAAUGAUGAAUGGGUAUUUUCCUCUCUUCAAGGCACUUUGUUAAUUGAAAGUUCAAAGUCCAUAGCAAACAAACAAUAAUAAGGAAUGAGCAAUUGUAUUUUCAUUGUAAAAAUAAGAUAGUUAUAGCAAACUGUCGGACAAGACUUGGCAAUGAUGUUCUAAAUUUGCUAAAGACGUGCGUCUUCAUCUUGUACUUCCUUUUCUAUCUGCACACCUCGCGGCUCUUCGCUAUUUCGGCCAAGGCUAAAGCUGGACACAAACGACUUGUGUUCUUGGCGAAUAAUCGUUACUUGCGUACAUUUGCCAUGUCAUGUUGUGUGAGUGGGUUUUUAGUACAAUUAUUAUUUGUCACUCGUUGCCGCUCGUUGGUUUUCCAUUUGAGGUCGGUAAUAAUGGCCCGAGUCAAAGGGUAACGGUUAUUCGUACACUUGCCAAGUACAUAGUUGUCUAUACUUGAGCAGAGGCGCUCAAACGAAGUGCACAAAUAAUUGGCAUUUACUGCAACUAUUCAUUUAAUAAUCAAACCACUGAUUCAUUUGUCAAGGUUUUUAAGCCAAAUGUUUACGCUCGCGUACUUGUAAAUUGUACAUGACGUGUGAGCGCCCUGAUGCCAUCGCAAUCGCAAAGCUAGGAUACUUGCCAAGUAGGCAAAUAGUUGUGUAUUUGCCAAGUACACGAGUCGUUUGAGUCCGCCUUAAGAAAUGACAAUUUGACACUGAUUUGUUACUCUCUCUAACAACCCUCUCUUAUUUUAUGUAGUUAUAAGUUAUUUUAUUGCCAUUGCUGUGUUAUUUCUGAAAUGUUCAUUAUAAUAUGUUAUAGUCGGUUCGCUAAACUCAGACAACUGGCACACACACACACACACAUGCUCGUAUCAACCCCAGCCCCGUGGGACAUGUGUGUUCCAAUGGAAAAGUGGAACCCACAUGUCCGAAGAUCAAACCGGUCACACUCCUCCCCAUCGAAGGACAUACCGAAUGGGGAGGCGUUGAUCUUAAUGUUACUUUGGAUGCCCUGGCUAAUGGGACAUCCUUUGUAUUACUUCAUGUGGUUAAGCCACCUGGUUUUAGGGGUAGCUAGAAGAGCUUUUCUCCCUAUUAAUGACUAAGUUAAUUUUUUACUUUACUUUGGACUUGUGUCCUAAAAAAAAAUGUGUUCCGGACAUCAAGGCACCGAUCUAAAUCGGUGUCUUGCUGUCCAGACCGUGUGUGCUCGGUCACUCAGCCGGUGAAUUUGCAAAAUAAAUUUUGUUCUCCUCGACGGCUGAGCGCCCGAAAGGUGUGGCCAUCAAGCCCACGUCUGUCGGUACGUGACCUCGAUGCUCACAUUCCGCGGCUAUGAUCCAUUUGACCUACCUGAAGGGUACUUAGUGCCUGAAGGGCGACAUUUGUGUUUCGAUAUUCUGUGGCUAUCUCAAUUUUUCAUUCUUAAGGGUUUCCUCUAUAUCCAGCUAACUGCUGUCUAGGCCGUCUAUGUACCGUUCUUUGGUUUUCGUCGUAGUUAGUCAAUUCUCUUAAUAAUCUGCUAGGAUGGUUUCUGUUAUUGUUAAAUAUUUCAUGUGCUCUUUCGUCUAUCAUUCUCAGGACUUUCUUUUGUUGCGUAUGUCCAAAUACGUAUCUGAAUGGGACAUAUCUAGGUACAUAUAUUCAGAGUUUCCCUGAUCAUGUGGUUUUGGAUGGUUUGUAUUUUUUUCUUGUUGGUUUUACACGUGUGCCCCCAUGCGGCUGAGGCGUAUGUUAGUGUUGGCAAAAUUAUACAAUUUGCCAUCCUAAUCUUUGUCUUAAAUCUCAGUUUACUCUUUCGACCUAUUAGCGAUUACAGUUGACUCCUAAGGGCUUUAGCUUUGUUGACCGUUUGUUUUACGUGUUCUGUAAAGGUCAGCCUUUUGUCCAACAUUACGCCUAGGUAUUUGGCUUGAGUUGACCAUUCAAUUUGGGUAUCAAAUAGGGAUAGUACCUCAUUUGGUCUUCCUCUUCGUUUUUGGUACAUAACGGCCUGUGUUUUGUCAGGAUUGACAGCUAUUUUCCACUGCACACACCAUUCUUGUAGUUCGUCAAGAGCUCUUUGUAGAUGUCUUGUUGCAAAAUCUGGGUGGGUACCGCUAAAAGCUAUCGCUGUAUCAUCUGCGUAUAGACUUAGCAACGAUCUGGGUUCAGUUGGGGUGUCUGCCGUAUAUACGGUAUAUAGAUAUGGCAACAACACUGCCCCCUGUGACACACCAGCCUCCAUGGUCCCAACUUCGGACAGGGUUGGCCCUAUCCGAACUCUGAACCUCCUGUUGGCUAGGUAUGACGAGAGAAGACACGUCAUCGCUUCACUAUAACCAUAUUGGUUCAUUUUAUACAGCAGGCCGUCAUGCCAGACCCUGUCAAAUGCUUUACUGACGUCUAGAAAGGCGGCCGCUGUAUAUUUCUUUUUGUUGAACCCUUUCGUGAUAUAUUCUGUUAACCUCAGCACUUGAAGUUCACACGAGUGCUCGAAUCUGAAUCCGAACUGUGCUUCAGGUAUUGUUCCGAUUGCUUCAGAUUCUUCUUUUAGCCUAACUAAUAUGACCCGCGCUGCGAUUUUGCUUAAUGCUGAUAAUAAGCUUAUCGGUCGAUAAUUAUGUGGAAAUGUCUUAGUCUUAAGAUGUUGUUUAUUAAAUUUGUUAUGUACACUAUUGCUUUUCCUGGCAGAUUUUUCAGAGCUCUGUUUGUAAUCUUGUCCGGUCCUGGAGCUUUUUUAGCAUUCGUACGCUUGAUUAGCUGUCUGACCUCUUCAGGGGAGGUGUGUGUAAUACCUAUAAUGCCCUUUCUUCUUUUUAGAAUUCUACAUCUUCGUUCGACUUCUUCUGUGAAGUCUAGAUCUUCAUCGGGAUGAUAGUUUUCCCUACAUUCUCUUUCUAGCGUGAUUGAUACAACUGGCUAGUGAUUUUAGUCGGUAAUUUAUUUGUUUUUGGCCUAUUUUGCCAAAAUUGGCAAAAUUACAAACUAUUUAGUAAUUAUUAACUAUUUAGUAAUUAUUUUUUUGGUAAUUUUUUAAAAUUGGCAAAAUUACUUACUAAAAUCGCUAGCCAGUUGUGUCUCGAGUUUAGCGAACCGACUAUACGAUUUAUGUCGUAAGGUUCUCUCGUCAAUCCAUUUGUAUAUAUGUAUAGUCGCGAUAACAUAUAUUUAGAACGGCUUUAAAGGCGGCGAAAUUUGGUAUCUUUUUGGUAUUUGUUUAUAAUCGACCGGAUACCGUUUCAGUAGGAUACGCGUUUUAGUUGGGAAACAGAUCAUUAAUAGAGUGUAGAGUGUUCUGUUACAUUCAGAUAAGAACAUUUUGUUCGACAUAAUGUUAUAAAGUCAAAAUUAAUUUUAGCGCAUACGAUGUUCUGCUUUUACGGUAUAUAAUAUAAUAUACAAUUUGACACUGAUUUAUUACUCUCUUUUUUUACAUAUUAUGUACUUAGUAAAAAAUAACUAUUUUUAAUUACAUAUUUAAUUAGCAGAACAAUCAGCCGCCGCACUAUAUCUUAAAGUAGAACUAUCCAAAUCUACAAUUUUGAUCAUUCUACUAUAUUCAUUACUUCAAUUAUAACUAUCUAGCAACGUAGCCACAAUAUUGUGUGAUGGUCUUUGUAUCAAUAUGAUUCGUAAUACGAUUUAGCUUCUCACUGCAUUUAUUUUGAACGAAAAGUGAGGUUAAUAGAAUAUUGAUUUUGAUUGUGGAUAUGACGAAAAACAGCAAUGUAUAAAAUUAAGUGUGUUGAAAAACCAAUCUUUGGUAAAUGUGUAAUGUAAAGAGAAUAGACAAUUAUGGCUGUGUUAUAUAUUAUAAAAGUAUUUCAUUGUGCAGAAAUAUAUCGUUUAAAGUA